rnacentral:rRNA from 1 species
GUCUAUGGCCAUACAACCCUGAAUGCACCUGAUCUUGUCUGAUCUUGGAAGCUAAGCAGGGUCGAGCCUGGUUAGUACUUGGAUGGGAGACAUAAUGUAUGAAGUCCUUGAAUAGUACACC